UUCCCUAAAAAGUCUCAGCCAAGAAUAAGU
rnacentral:piRNA from 1 species